rnacentral:tRNA from 1 species
AUAAAAUUAAGUUAGAGUAGACUGCGUGUUUUCAAAACACUUAGCGGGGUUUAUCUCCAUUUUAUG